rnacentral:rRNA from 1 species
CUAAGGCUAAAUACUCUCUAGUGACCGAUAGUGAACCAGUACCGUGAGGGAAAGGUGAAAAGCACCCCGGAAGGGGAGUGAAAUAGAACCUGAAACCGUGUGCUUACAAGUAGUCAGAGCCCGUUAAUGGGUGAUGGCGUGCCUUUUGUAGAAUGAACCGGCGAGUUACGAUUUGAUGCAAGGUUAAGCAGUAAAUGUGGAGCCGUAGCGAAAGCGAGUCUGAAUAGGGCGUUUAGUAUUUGGUCGUAGACCCGAAACCAGGUGAUCUACCCUUGGUCAGGUUGAAGUUCAGGUAACACUGAAUGGAGGACCGAACCGACUUACGUUGAAAAGUGAGCGGAUGAACUGAGGGUAGCGGAGAAAUUCCAAUCGAACCUGGAGAUAGCUGGUUCUCUCCGAAAUAGCUUUAGGGCUAGCCUCAAGUGAUGAUUAUUGGAGGUAGAGCACUGUUUGGACGAGGGGCCCCUCUCGGGUUACCGAAUUCAGACAAACUCCGAAUGCCAAUUAAUUUAACUUGGGAGUCAGAACAUGGGUGAUAAGGUCCGUGUUCGAAAGGGAAACAGCCCAGACCACCAGCUAAGGUCCCAAAAUAUAUGUUAAGUGGAAAAGGAUGUGGCGUUGCCCAGACAACUAGGAUGUUGGCUUAGAAGCAGCCAUCAUUUAAAGAGUGCGUAAUAGCUCACUAGUCGAGUGACACUGCGCCGAAAAUGUACCGGGGCUAAACAUAUUACCGAAGCUGUGGAUUGUCCUUUGGACAAUGGUAGGAGAGCGUUCUAAGG